rnacentral:rRNA from 1 species
AUUGAACGCUGGCGGCAUGCCUAAUACAUGCAGUAGAACGCUGAAGGAAGGAGCUUGCUCUUUCCGGAUGAGUUGCGAACGGGUGAGUAACGCGUAGGUAACCUGCCUGGUAGCGGGGGAUAACUAUUGGAAACGAUAGCUAAUACCGCAUAACAGUAGAUAUCGCAUGAUAGCUGCUUGAAAGGUGCAAAUGCACCACUACCAGAUGGACCUGCGUUGUAUUAGCUAGUUGGUGAGGUAACGGCUCACCAAGGCAACGAUACAUAGCCGACCUGAGAGGGUGAUCGGCCACACUGGGACUGAGACACGGCCCAGACUCCUACGGGAGGCAGCAGUAGGGAAUCUUCGGCAAUGGACGGAAGUCUGACCGAGCAACGCCGCGUGAGUGAAGAAGGUUUUCGGAUCGUAAAGCUCUGUUGUAAGAGAAGAACGAGUGUGAGAGUGGAAAGUUCACACUGUGACGGUAUCUUACCAGAAAGGGACGGCUAACUACGUGCCAGCCGCCGCCGUAA